UUCUAAGGGCUAUGGAUUUGUACACUUUGAAACACAGGAAGCAGCUGAAAGAGCUAUUGAAAAAAUGAAUGGGAUGCUCCUAAAUGAUCGUAAAGUAUUUGUUGGACGAUUUAAGUCUCGUAAAGAACGGGAAGCUGAGCUUGGAGCUAGGGCAAAAGAGUUCACCAAUGUUUACAUCAAGAAUUUUGGAGAAGACAUGGAUGAUGAGCGCCUGAAGGAUCUCUUUGGCAAGUUUGGACCUGCCUUAAGCGUUAAAGUAAUGACUGAUGAAAGUGGGAAAUCCAAAGGAUUUGGAUUUGUAAGCUUUGAAAGGCACGAAGAUGCACAGAAAGCUGUGGAUGAGAUGAAUGGAAAGGAGCUCAAUGGAAAACAGAUUUAUGUUGGCCGAGCUCAGAAAAAAGUGGAACGGCAGACGGAACUCAAGCGCAAAUUUGAGCAGAUGAAGCAAGAUAGGAUCACCAGAUACCAGGGUGUUAACCUUUAUGUGAAAAAUCUUGAUGAUGGUAUUGAUGAUGAACGUCUCCGGAAAGAGUUUUCUCCGUUUGGUACAAUCACUAGUGCAAAGGUUAUGAUGGAGGGUGGUCGCAGCAAAGGAUUUGGUUUUGUAUGUUUCUCCUCCCCAGAAGAAGCCACUAAAGCAGUUACAGAAAUGAACGGUAGAAUUGUGGCCACCAAGCCAUUGUAUGUAGCUUUAGCUCAGCGCAAAGAAGAGCGCCAGGCUCACCUCACUAACCAGUAUAUGCAGAGAAUGGCAAGUGUACGAGCUGUGCCCAACCCUGUCAUCAACCCCUACCAGCCAGCACCUCCUUCAGGUUACUUCAUGGCAGCUAUCCCACAGACUCAGAACCGUGCUGCAUACUAUCCUCCUAGCCAAAUUGCUCAACUAAGACCAAGUCCUCGCUGGACUGCUCAGGGUGCCAGACCUCAUC